rnacentral:rRNA from 1 species
AUUGAACGCUGGCGGCAGGCCUAACACAUGCAAGUCGAGCGAGUGGCGGACGGGUGCGUAAUGUCUGGGAAACUGCCUGAUGGAGGGGGAUAACUACUAGAAACGGUAGCUAAUACCUCAUACUAUCGGAUGUGCCCAGAUGGGAUUAGCUAGUAGGUGGGGUAAAGGGUCACCUAGGCGACGAUCCCUAGCUGGUCUGAGAGGAUGACCAGCCACACUGGAACUGAGACACGGUCCAGACUCCGACGGGAGGCAGCAGUGGGGAAUAUUGCACAAUGGGCGCAAGCCUGAUGCAGCCAUGCCGCGUGUAUGAAGAAGGCCUUAGGGUUGUAAAGUACUUUCAGCGGGGAGGCGUUACCCGCAGAAGAAGCACCGGCUAACUCCGUGCCAGCAGCCGCGGUAAUAC